rnacentral:misc_RNA from 1 species
AAGUCGUAACAAGGUCUCCGUAGGUGAACCUGCGGAGGGAUCAUUACACAAUAACAAGGCGGGCUGGACACCCCCCGCUGGGCACUGCUUCACGGCGUGCGCGGCGGGGCCGGCCCUGCUGAAUUAUUCACCCGUGUCUUUUGCGUACUUCUUGUUUCCUGGGUGGGCUUGCCCGCCCUCAGGACCAACCACAAACCUUUUGCAAUAGCAAUCAGCGUCAGUAACAACGUAAUUAAUUACAACUUUCAACAACGGAUCUCUUGGUUCUG